UGGGGAAUAUUGGACAAUGGGCGGAAGCCUGAUCCAGCCAUGCCGCGUGUGUGAAGAAGGCCUUUUGGUUGUAAAGCACUUUAAGCGAGGAGGAGGCUACUUGGAUUAAUACUCUAGGAUAGUGGACGUUACUCGCAGAAUAAGCACCGGCUAACUCUGUGCCAGCAGCCGCGGUAAUACAGAGGGUGCGAGCGUUAAGCGGAUUUACUGGGCGUAAAGCGUGCGUAGGCGGCUUCUUAAGUCGGAUGUGAAAUCCCUGAGCUUAACUUAGGAAUUGCAUUCGAUACUGGGAAGCUAGAGUAUGGGAGAGGAUGGUAGAAUUCCAGGUGUAGCGGUGAAAUGCGGAGGGAUCUGGAGGAAUACCGAUGGCGAAGGCAGCCAUCUGGCCUAAUACUGACGCAGAGGUAAGAAAGCAUGAGGAGCAAACAGG
rnacentral:rRNA from 1 species